AUUUUUUUCAAGGAUGAGCUUUGCCAGCUCCAUGUGGAAGGCCCUAAAGCUCCUCCUUCCACUUCGAAGCAUGACUGAUGCCUCCAGGGCCUCACAGCCACUUCUGAAGCACUUCCUGAAAGCCAGCUCCACCCUGGCUAGGCCCUGACCUCGGCAGACCCAAGCCCAGGACGAUGCCUGUUGCGUUCUUCUCCCCGCUGUAGCAAGUCACCUUCCCCAGCAGCCACCAUGUUGUCUGGGCUCUCCCUGUGGGGGAUGCCAGGGGAAAGUGAGAGAGCAGAGGUGGCCAAGAUGGCAUGUGCUGCCUUCUCUCCUGGAACAUGCUGCUUCCACAUGGCAGUGCCAGUGUCUCCGUGUGAAUUCAUUGAUUGUGGCUUGAGCGAAUUCCUGGGUUUGCUGUUCCAGAUGAUUCUGCAGGGCUUCAAAACCAGCAGAGCCCUGAGCAAAGCAGCUCCUUGUUCUCAUGGGCUGAACUCAUCAUGAUGUCCCUGGCUAAGGGGGGCAGCAUGGGGUCCAGCCCGGCCCAGGCACAUGGAGCUGCAGUCCUGUCAGGCUGAGUGUGGUGUUUGCCUUCUAGGAUGGCCCCCGAGGCCGCCAGUUCCAGACAGGGUCUGUCACCCAAAGACAUCCAUGCUGAGUCACCCAAAGACAUCCAUGCUGAAUCCAUCCCUCUGCCAUUCUGCCUUGCCCGACCCUCUGCCAUUCUGCCUUGCCCAGCCCUCUGCCAUUCUACAUUACGCCUGAUUUUUGGAAGUGUUGUGGUUUUGAGUGUUGGCAGCCCAGUGUCACAGAGGACCAUAUCUUAGAAAUGACCCCCCAGGCGGGAGCUGUGGCUUUCCUGUUCUAUUUGAAGACAGCUGUUUUAGGGUGCAGCGGGUCCAGGGACACAGAGUGGGCCAUGAGCAAGGGAUGGGUGCUGGGGCCUGGCAGAGAUGGCAGGCGCUGUGACCCCGGCACUUAGGAAGGGGUGGGUGCUGUGACCGUGGCACUAAAUAAGGAAGGGAUGGGCACUGUGACCCUGGCACUUAGUGAGGAAGGAGGGGUGGGCACUGUGACUCUGGCAUUUAGUGAGGAGGGGGGGGUGGGCGCUCUGACCCCGGCACUUAGUAAGGAAGGGGUGGGCACUGUGACUCUGGCAUUUAGUGAGGAAGGGGGGGUGGGCACUGUGACCCCGGCACUUAGUGAGGAAGAGGUGGGCCCUGUGACCCCAGCACUCAGGAAGGGGUGGGCACUGUGACCCCGGCACUUAGUGACCCUGUUGGAGCCUCACCUCCCAGAUCCAUAAAGCAGGGAUCAUGAAAACCAACCGCAGUCAGCAGGGCCCAUGGGGCACUCAGAUGUCAAGAAUAUGAACACGUGGCUGCUGUUCCUCCCCCUGUUCCCGGUGCAGGUGCAGACCCUGAUAGUCGUGAUCAUCGGGAUGCUCGUGCUCCUGCUGGACUUUCUUGGCUUGGUGCACCUGGGCCAGCUGCUCAUCUUCCACAUCUACCUGAGCCAAGAAGAUGACCACCUUUGAGUAUCUCAUUAAUACCCGCAAAGAAGAGAGUUCAAAACAUCCAGCAGUGAGGAAAGAUCCAUACGUGCAAAUGGACAAAGGAUUUCUCCAGCAAGGAGAUGGCGCCCUGGGCUCAUCUGCACAGGGGAAGCGGAUGAAGACCCGUAUCCAUCUGCACUUGGUGAUGGGCACCACAGGCCUGUAGCUUCUUAGGCUCUGGGAGGAGGCGCAGUGGAAAUUGAGGUCGCCGUGAGGUCGCUCCGAUGUCGCCGCACACUGUUGCUGCCUGGCUACCUUCCCAUCUCUGUCAUCAUGGAGAGUGUGGGCAGGGGACCCCUGGCCCUCUUCCUUCUUCUCCUGCCCCGGGGGGAGCAGCAGAGAGCCAAGGGGCUGGAGGAGGAGCCAAGGCCAGGAACUCCCUGCUGAUUUGCAGGCGCCUGUGUCAGUUCUCCACUCGUGUACACCCAGACGGGGGCUCGAUGGCACAGGAAGCAGAUGAUGCCCCGAGUACAUCUACACUUGGGCUGCAACAAUAAACAACAGAGCCCAUGAAAACCGACAGUGCUGAAAGUGAAGACUGAGAUUCAGGAGCUGAGCUGCCCCUGUGAUCCAGGUCUUCCACCCUGAAACCCCACCCUCCAUCAAGGUCCUGCCUGUAGAGUGUACCUUGCAAAGCCUCCUGCUCCUACCCAUGCUACAGGCCAGGAACCAGAGCCCAUCAUCUCAGAGGCCCCUGGAUGUCCUUCGAAGGAACCAGGACCCUCAGAGCCCAGCAUCCAUCUCUGUCAUCAUCUUCAUCACACCCAAAGAAGAGCCAGCCUUGCAGGAGGAUUUACAUCUCUGGGAUGAUGGGCUGCCAGCAACUGCAGAGGAUGCAGCCACCUGCUUAACUGUGCUGUCCAGCCAGCCAGCCAGCCAGCCAGCUGCAGGGCCUCUUGCUGCUUAAGAAGAGCUGAUGGGCCGGGCAUGUUGGCUCACACCUGUGAGCACAGUACUGAGAAAUGGGAGCACAGUACUGGGAAUUGGGAGCACAGUAUUGGGAAUUGGGAGCACAGUACUGGGAAAUGGAAGCACAGUACUGGGAAAUGGGGGCUCACAGCACUGCAAAAUGGGAGCACAGUACUGGGAAGUGGGAGCACAGUACUGAGAAGUGGGAGCACAGUACUGGGAAAUGGGAGUACAGGACUGAGAAAUGGGAGCACAGUACUGUGAAAUGGGAGCACAGUACUGUGAAAUGGGCAUACAGUACUGAGAAAUGGGAGCACACAGUACUGGGAAAUGGGAGCAUAGUACUGGGAAAUGGGAGCCCACAGUACUGGGAAACGGGAGCUCACAGUACUGGGAAAUGGGAGCACACAGUACUGGGAAAUGGCAGCAUAGUACUGGGAAAUGGGAGCACAGUACUGGGAAAUAGGAGCAUAGUACUGGGAAACCCCAGACCUGGAUUCUCAGUUUUUCAGCCUAGCCCAGACUUCUUAUCUUAGUAGACAAAAAGAGUCAAUACCAGAGAACCAGAAGCAUCCUCUGUAUUUUAAUGAACUCUGCAUUUUAGUCUGUUUAGUAGUCAUAUUUUAAAAGAUAAUCAGUUUUCCACAUAUAUCUAUAAGUUACUACAUGC
rnacentral:sRNA from 1 species